rnacentral:rRNA from 1 species
GACGAACGCUGGCGGCGUGCUUAACACAUGCAAGUCGAACGGAAAGGCCCUGCUUUUGUGGGGUGCUCGAGUGGCGAACGGGUGAGUAACACGUGAGUAACCUGUCCUUGACUUUGGGAUAACUUCAGGAAACUGGGGCUAAUACCGGAUAGGAGCUCCUGCUGCAUGGUGGGGGUUGGAAAGUUUCGGCGGUUGGGGAUGGACUCGCGGCUUAUCAGAUUGUUGGUGGGGUAGUGGCUUACCAAGGCUUUGACGGGUAGCCGGCCUGAGAGGGUGACCGGCCACAUUAGGACUGAGAUACGGCCCAGACUCGUACGGGAGGCAGCAGUGGAGAAUAUUGCACAAUGGGCGGAAGCCUGAUGCAGCAACGCCGCGUGCGGGAUGACGGCCUUCGGGUUGUAAACCGCAUUCGCCUGUGACGAAGCGUGAGUGACGGUAAUGGGUAAAGAAGCACCGGCUAACUACGUG